UGUGUUUAUGUCAGAAAAACACACCCUGCAAGACACCUCACCCUAAAGCUCUUUGGCUAUAUUAUUUUUGAGCCUCUGUCUGAGCCUUUUUCCAUGACUGCCUUUCCUUCAAGCCCAGCUUUUGCAGCACAUUGCCGUGGUGUGGUACACAGACAUACUGAUGCUCUAUUCUGAAGAGGUUCUGUAGCAGGAAAAAAAGGUAUAUCUAUGAAUUUUCAGGUAAUUUUAGAUAAAUGAAUACAGGUACAAAGCUGUCCUUUGUCACAUGGCAAAAUACUCAAUGCCUGCCUGUGUGGAGCAUGAGUCAGCUUUAUAAAUUCAACCAGUAGAAGAUUUAUUUUAUUGUAAAUACCAGCCAGGAUUGCCAUCACUUAUCUGCUGGUGAAUGAAGACACCACAAGCAGGUGAUUUUAAUGGUGCUCUUUAAUGGAGUUCUGUGUGCUUGGAGCACUGAUCAGGGCUGAGAAUCUCCAUGAGAGCUUGCUGUGGAAUGAAAGCCUGCUCUGUCACUCAGCAGGGCUGGCCCAAGGACUGUCCAGCCCCCUGAUGCCACACCACACCAACAAGAAACACAGACUUCCCCCUGCUGCUUCCCUUUGGCCCAUGCCUCUCAGAUCUGCAUUGCUGUUUGAGUUUUCACAGUCCUGCUCCUGACAGGGCUGUCGUGCUGGGAAGGUCAGAUUUGGGUCUUGGACACUGGUGUGAGGCAGGAGAAACCCCCAGGCAGGACCUCACCACUGCAAACCCAUCUAAAAGCUGUAACAGCCACCAUCCAUCAGGUAUCAAGUGCAGAGAGGAUGAAAAUAAUUUGUUUGGGGAUUACCUACAGAAAGAAACUUGAUAGACACUCGAGAGAAGACAUUUCUCAUGCCAAGCCAUGGGAAACUGAUGUAGAAUUGCAGCACCACGAGCAGCAGGAGCAGGAUAAAUACAAAGUGCCUGCUCAGACAGCAGAGAGCAAGAGCUACCACAGUCCCAGAGCAGGGUCACCAGCUGGAAAAACACCCAGCAAAGUUUCCUGUUGUAGUAUUGUAGCUGAUACAAGGACUGUUCCUUUGGAAGUUGUUUUACAUUCUAUUCAUUCCUCUGAGGGCUGAGCAAACAUGGACUGAAAAAAUGACUGACUGAAGAGAAGGAUUUUUUCAUCCUGAUCAGCUUGGGCUCUGAUUUUGUCUGGCUUUACAGACUAAGGGAUAAGAUAGUGGCUGCUUGUAGAUGCAUUUGAUCUCUCAAUGCCAAGAGGACAUGCUGCCAUUCUGAUAAGGAAAAGUAACACUGAGUUGUUUCUCCAUUCUCAGAACACAAAUCUGGUUCUGCAAGCAGUUUGCCAGAUGUGAUAUCCAUCAGCACAGCCUCGUCACUAAUCCCCAGUCGAGGGCCAGGACAAGGGUAAUGAAGGAGAUCCUUUGUGAGAGGCUCAAUAUUUUCUUGUGCACUGAGUCAGGGAAAAUCUCUGUGGUUCAGAAGCAGCACUGACUGACCAGAAUCAUGUGGCAGCCCUUUGGGUUGAAGGCCUCGAGAAGUGGGACUUCCCAAACCUUUUUAGAUCUGACUGAAUAAGAAACUUAGCCUGAAAAAGGUAUUUUGUGCUGGUUGACUUUAAAACCCCCAACAAACAAACAAAAAACCCUACACAAGAAAAGAAAUUAUUCCCAUCAUUACAGAAAGUUAAAUUAAACUCUGCAUGUCCCACAACUCUUCACAGCCCAAAACUCAGUGCAAGUUCUGAUAUUAGGCUUCCUCCACAUCCUCAAAUGGCAGGCAGCACCAUAUUUAAAAAGGAAAAUGUGGAAGGUUGGCUGUGCUUCUCAGGGCCUGGUCCUUGCACAAAGGCUCUUGUGAGCUCAAUGUGACUGCACAGGGGUGACAGUGGCUCUGCAGCAGCACAGGUGACAUCUGGCACAGCUGGCACAAAUCCAGUGCAAACCUGAGCGGCUUCAGACCUGUGCUGCCAGUGUGUGACUCAGAGUCAGAGCUCCACAGAGCAAAACAAGUUUUUUGAUGUUCUGCCUCAUUGGAAACUGGCCAAAGGAAGCUGCUCCUCUGGCAAAAUCCUGGCUUGUUGAAAGAAAAGCACAUUAUGAAAGUGCCUGUUUUGAAGAAAUAAGGUAACUUUCAGUUCUGAGCUUCUUGGAAAUUAACACAACAACUUUUUCUCCAGGAAAAAACAAACAUUUUCUUGGGGUUUAAUACUUGAUGGAUAAAGGCAUAACAAGGA